GGCAGCAGUAAGGGAUAUUGCGCAAUGGGCGAAAGCCUGACGCAGCAACGCCGCGUGGAGGAAGAAGGGUUUCGGCUCGCAAACUCCUUUUGUCGGGGACGAGAAAGGACGGUACCCGAUGGAUAAGUCACGGCUAACUACGUGCCAGCAGCCGCG
rnacentral:rRNA from 1 species